GCCGGUGUAGCUCAGCUGGUAGAGCAAUCCCCUCGUAAGGGAUAGGCCGUAGGUUCAAUUCCUAUCACCGGCACCA
rnacentral:tRNA from 2 species